CUCAUUAAAUCAGUUAUAGUUUAUUUGAUGGUCUCUUUUGUUUCUCUUUUUUACCUACUUGGAUAACCGUGGUAAUUCUAGAGCUAAUACAUGCGUAAGGUCCCAAGCGCGGGGCGGGCGGGGCGUCAAAACCUCGUCCGUUCGCAUGCGCGGCGGGAUGUAUUUAUUAGGUUAAAAACCAGCAGCCAGCAAUGGCUACAAUCUCCUGGUGAUUCAUAGUAACUUUUUCGGAUCGCAUUCAUG
rnacentral:rRNA from 1 species